AAUGGGGAAACCCUGAAGCAGCCAUGCCGGGGUGUGAAGAAAGCCUUCGGGUUGUAAAGCACUUUCAGUAGGGAGGAAGGUAGGGUAGUUACACCUUGCAUUAUUUGACGUUACCUACAGAAGAAGCACCGGCUAACUCCGUGCCAGCAGCCGCGGUAAUACGGAGGGUGCGAGCGUUAAUCGGAAUUACUGGGCGUAAAGCGCAUGCAGGCGGCCUGUUAAGUCAGAUGUGAAAGCCCGGGGCUUAACCUCGGAAUUGCAUUUGAAACUGGCAGGCUAGAGUCUUGUAGAGGGGGGUAGAAUUUCAGGUGUAGCGGUGAAAUGCGUAGAGAUCUGAAGGAAUACCAGUGGCGAAGGCGGCCCCCUGGACAAAGACUGACGCUCAGAUGCGAAAGCGUGGGGAGCAAACAGGAUUAGAUACCCUGGUAGUCCACGCCGUAAACGAUGUCUACUUGGAGGUUGUGGCCUUGAGCCGUGGCUUUCGGAGCUAACGCGUUAAGUAGACCGCCUAGGGAGUACGGUCGCAAGAUUAAAACUCAAAUGAAUUGACGGGGGCCCGCACAAGCGGUGGAGCAUGUGGUUUAAUUCGAUGCAACGCGAAGAACCUUACCUACUCUUGACAUCCAGAGAAGCUUGAAGAGAUUCGAGUGUGCCUUCGGGAACUCUGAGACAGGUGCUGCAUGGCUGUCGUCAGCUCGUGUUGUGAAAUGUUGGGUUAAGUCCCGCAACGAGCGCAACCCUUAUCCUUGUUUGCCAGCACUUCGGGUGGGAACUCCAGGGAGACUGCCGGUGAUAAACCGGAGGAAGGUGGGGACGACGUCAAGUCAUCAUGGCCCUUACGAGUAGGGCUACACACGUGCUACAAUGGCAUAUACAGAGGGCAGCAAGACCGCGAGGUGGAGCGAAUCCCAGAAAGUAUGUCGUAGUCCGGAUCGGAGUCUGCAACUCGACUCCGUGAAGUCGGAAUCGCUAGUAAUCGUGGAUCAGAAUGCCACGGUGAAUACGUUCCCGGGCCUUGUACACACCGCCCGUCACACCAUGGGAGUGGGCUGCACCAGAAGUAGAUAGCUUAACCUUCGGGAGGGCGUUUACCACGGUGUGGUUCAUGACUGGGGUGAAGUCGUAACAAGGUAACCG
rnacentral:rRNA from 1 species